rnacentral:rRNA from 1 species
AUUGAACGCUGGCGGCAUGCCUUACACAUGCAAGUCGAACGGCAGCGCGGGGCAACCUGGCGGCGAGUGGCGAACGGGUGAGUAAUAUAUCGGAACGUACCCUGGAGUGGGGGAUAACGUAGCGAAAGUUACGCUAAUACCGCAUACGAUCUAAGGAUGAAAGUGGGGGAUGCGCAAGCACCUCAUGCUCCUGGAGCGGCCGAUAUCUGAUUAGCUAGUUGGUGGGGUAAAGGCCUACCAAGGCAUCGAUCAGUAGCUGGUCUGAGAGGACGACCAGCCACACUGGAACUGAGACACGGUCCAGACUCCUACGGGAGGCAGCAGUGGGGAAUUUUGGACAAUGGGCGAAAGCCUGAUCCAGCAAUGCCGCGUGAGUGAAGAAGGCCUUCGGGUUGUAAAGCUCUUUUGUCAGGGAAGAAACGGUGAGGGCUAAUAUCCCUUGCUAAUGACGGUACCUGAAGAAUAAGCACCGGCUAACUACGUGCCAGCAGCCGCGGUAAUACGUAGGGUGCAAGCGUUAAUCGGAAUUACUGGGCGUAAAGCGUGCGCAGGCGGUUUUGUAGUAUGUCGUGAAAUCCCCGGGCUCAACCUGGGAAUUGCGAUGGAGACUGCAAGGCUAGAAUCUGGCAGAGGGGGGUAGAAUUCCACGUGUAGCAGUGAAAUGCGUAGAGAUGUGGAGGAACACCGAUGGCGAAGGCAGCCCCCUGGGUCAAGAUUGACGCUCAUGCACGAAAGCGUGGGGAGCAAACAGGAUUAGAUACCCUGGUAGUCCACGCCCUAAACGAUGUCUACUAGUUGUCGGGUUUUAAUUAACUUGGUAACGCAGCUAACGCGUGAAGUAGACCGCCUGGGGAGUACGGUCGCAAGAUUAAAACUCAAAGGAAUUGACGGGGACCCGCACAAGCGGUGGAUGAUGUGGAUUAAUUCGAUGCAACGCGAAAAACCUUACCUACCCUUGACAUGUACGGAAGCCACGAGAGAUCGAGGCGUGCUCGAAAGAGAGCCGUAACACAGGUGCUGCAUGGCUGUCGUCAGCUCGUGUCGUGAGAUGUUGGGUUAAGUCCCGCAACGAGCGCAACCCUUGUCAUUAGUUGCUACGAAAGAGCACUCUAAUGAGACUGCCGGUGACAAACCGGAGGAAGGUGGGGAUGACGUCAAGUCCUCAUGGCCCUUAUGGGUAGGGCUUCACACGUCAUACAAUGGUACAUACAGAGGGCCGCCAACCCGCGAGGGGGAGCUAAUCCCAGAAAGUGUAUCGUAGUCCGGAUUGUAGUCUGCAACUCGACUACAUGAAGUUGGAAUCGCUAGUAAUCGCGGAUCAGCAUGUCGCGGUGAAUACGUUCCCGGGUCU